UAAUGAAAGCUUUUACAGUAAUAAAAGACUCAGUUUAUUUAUAAAAGGAAGGCCCUACAGGAAAACUUUCCUUAAUAAAGCCUGUGAUAAAGAGCAGCAGUAAAAACUUACCUGCAAAAAUAAUUCCAUGUAUCAUUAAAUCUCAAAAUUUUUUUUUAAAAAAAGAUCAUUUAUAGCUCAGCAGCCUAACCAGGGAUUUGUCCCUGGAGAGUCGUAUUAAGUACUGAAUUAUGUGUCUGUGUUCUCAGCGCUACCUGGUGGGGUAUUCUAUUCUAAUCAUACUUCAAAGCAGCGGCUAAAAUUAGAGAAUUAGCAUAAAGCCAGGGCCUAAAGGGCUAUUUGGAACCCAGGUUUAUUACUUUUAUUCACUCAAUAGUAAACAUUUAAUGAGUAUCUGCUCUUUGCCAGGGAUAUCUCUGGUUACUUGAGAAUAAAUACAGAUAAAACUCAUCUCUGCCCUCAAGGAACUCAGUUUUACUGCAAUAAACACAUACCACUGCAGUUCAUGAGAGUAUAAGACAAAGGUCUCAGGAGAUGGGAGGUCAGACUUCCCUGGGGGAGAUCCGAGAAGGUCAGAGAGCAGGGCCUACUUCACAGGAGUCAUGAAGUUCUGGCAGAGAGACUGAAGUUUGAGGAGGUUCAAAAAUGCCCCCAAGGGGUUGUAAAUGACAGCUUCAAGACUCAGAAUUGGAAUCCAGGUCUUUCUCCACCUGAUCCAAUGCUCUUUCCUCUUUACCAACAAGAAAACAAAUCUUAAGUGUAAUGGAUGACCAACUCGCACGUGGCAGAUGGUUCCAAGGCACUCCAGUUUGAUCCUCCCAUAUCACCUGUCGGGAUGUUUGGAUUCUGGCAGCCAUGAGGGAAUUGGUCAUUGAACACAAUGGUUGCAAGGUCAUGCAGGAUCUCAGCUCCCUGAUCAGGGAUUGAACCUGUGCUCCCUGCAGUGGAAGUUCAGAGUCCUAACCACGGCACUGACAGGGAAUUCCCUCAGUUCAGUUUUUAAGACAAGACAUUUAUUUGGUGCUUGCUGCGUGCUACAUAUUGUUCUGAGUACCAGGAAGACAAAUGUCUGACCAGAAUGUGUGGUAUCUGCCUGUUCUUCUGCCUCCAUUUGUUCUUACGAUCUGCUCCCUGGAAGCUGGCGGACAGCACCUCAGGCUUACCCCAUGCCACGUCACCACAAUGGAAUCUGGCUACAGGUGUUCCCUCCAGGGAGUUCCAAGUGAACCAGAAGCAGAAUGCAUAUAACUUAGAUGGGAUACACAUCACCAUCCCCAAUCUGUCCACCCUGUGCUAUUUUAAGCCUCAGAAUAUGCUGCUGUUCUAUAGGAUCUGAUCAGAGAUCUGACGCUGAGGAAAAUCAUCUACACACAUGGAAAAAAAUAAAAGUGGAUUCCUACUUUGCCUUCAUAUUAAAAAAAGUUUUGACAGGUUUCAGAUGGAUUAAAAACUAAAUAUGGGGGGAGAGAAAUCAGGAGUUUGGGAUUAAUAGAUACACACUACUACAUAUAAAAUAGAUAAACAACAAGGACCUACUGUAUAG
ensembl:lncRNA